rnacentral:lncRNA from 1 species
UCUAUUGAUGACCGCUUCUUCUGCAAAAUAUAAUAACAAGUAUCAAUUUUCUAAUAAAGUUAGAUAAUUUAGAUAUUAAUUGAUACUUUUUAUGUCAAUUUGUGACAUAAAUCACACCCCCAACUUAAUCAUUGCUAGUCCCUUAGCAAUGUACCAAAAUAAGAUCGUAUUCCAAAAAAAUCCUUCCUUUGCAAAUUAAUUUAAGAUCGAAAUUCAAGAAGUUUUCUAGUAUUACUAAGUAAUGAGCUUCGAAUUAGAAUCGGUAGUCAGUCUACUUAGGAGCUUUCUUAGAGUACACUUAAAGUUUUAUAGCACUUGUGUGAGUGAUAACUAACUUAGUAUUUCAGUAUUAACGUGUANNNNNNN